GCCUACGGGAGGCAGCAGUGAGGAAUAUUGGUCAAUGGGAGAGAUCCUGAACCAGUCAAGCCGCGUGAGGGAAGACGGCCCUAUGGGUUGUAAACCUCUUUUGUCGGAGAACAAAACCCGGGACGUGUCCCGGACUGCGUGUAUCCGAAGAAAAAGCAUCGGCUAACUCCGUGCCAGCAGCCGCGGUAAUACGGAGGAUGCGAGCGUUAUCCGGAUGUAUUGGGUUUAAAGGGUGCGUAGGCGGUCCGUUAAGUCAGCGGCAAAAUUGCGUGGCUCACCACUGUCGAG
rnacentral:rRNA from 1 species